GAUGAACGCUGGCGGCGUGCCUAAUACAUGCAAGUCGAGCGAACAGACGAGGAGCUUGCUCCUCUGACGUUAGCGGCGGACGGGUGAGUAACACGUGGAUAACCUACCUAUAAGACUGGGAUAACUUCGGGAAACCGGAGCUAAUACCGGAUAAUAUAUUGAACCGCAUGGUUCAAUAGUGAAAGACGGUUUUGCUGUCACUUAUAGAUGGAUCCGCGCCGCAUUAGCUAGUUGGUAAGGUAACGGCUUACCAAGGCGACGAUGCGUAGCCGACCUGAGAGGGUGAUCGGCAACACUGGAACUGAGACACGGUCCAGACUCCUACGGGAGGCAGCAGUAGGGAAUCUUCCGCAAUGGGCGAAAGCCUGACGGAGCAACGCCGCGUGAGUGAUGAAGGUCUUCGGAUCGUAAAACUCUGUUAUUAGGGAAGAACAAAUGUGUAAGUAACUAUGCACGUCUUGACGGUACCUAAGCAGAAAGCCACGGCUAACUACGU
rnacentral:rRNA from 1 species